rnacentral:rRNA from 1 species
CCGGCGACCGGCGCACGGGUGAGUAACACGUAUGCAACCUGGCCGUGACAGAUGGAUAACCGGGAGAAAUCCCGCCUAAUACAGCAUGACGCGGGAAGGGACAUCCCUUUCCGGCCAAAGGGGGCGACUCCGGUCACGGAUGGGCAUGCGGCGCAUUAGGUAGUUGGUGGGGCAACGGCCCACCAAGCCGACGAUGCGUAGGGGUUCUGAGAGGAAGGUCCCCCACACUGGUACUGAGACACGGACCAGACUCCUACGGAAGGCAGCAG